rnacentral:rRNA from 1 species
UUUAAUAAUAUUGUUUUGUUUUUGUUUUGAGUUAGUUAUUUGAAUUAAGUAAAUUUGAGUUAUUGUAGGAUGAAUUGAUAAAAUAUUUUGAACUAUAGUAAAUUAGUACAGUGAUGGAAAAUAUAAUUAGUUAUUUAUAAUUAAAUAAAGUUGAUUUUAUUUAUUGUAUCUUGUGUAUUAAAGUGUAUUUAAAUGAAUUAUAGAUUUUUUAUUCUCGAAUUUAAAAGAUUUAAUUAGAUAUUUUAGUUAUUGUGUUAUAAAUAUUAAAAAUAUUUAAUUGGAAAUGAGAUGUUAAUCGUUUUUUAGGAUAUCUAGUUUUUUAAUAAAUGAAUUUAAUUCAGAAAAUAUAAAUUACUUAAUAUUUAUAUAUUAAUAUAUUUUAUGUUUUUAAUUUUUAAAGGGAUUAACUUUUAAAAAUAAUAAUUAUAAUAGAAGAUAUUUUUAAGAAUUUUAUGAAUUUGAAGUUUGUUAAUAAUUAAAGGAUGUUAAAAUUUGGUUCUAAUUUUUAUGAAUUUUAAUUAUUAUUUAAUUUUAUAUUAAAAUAUAAGUUUUAAUUUUGAAUUUUUAGUAAAUGUGAUUUAAUUAGUAAAUUGUUAUAAGUAUUAAUUUAAGUGAUUUUUGAUAUGUUAAUAUAAGGAAUUAGGCAAAAUUAUUACUCACCUGUUUAUUAAAAACAUGGUUUCUUGAUUUAUUUAAGAGAUCUAACCUGCCCACUGAAUUUUUGAAUGGCCGCGGUAUUUUGACUGUGCAAAGGUAGCAUAAUCAUUAGUCUUUUAAUUAAGGGCUGGCAUGAAUGGUUGAAUGAGGUAAAAACUGUUUUAUAUUUAUUUUAAUUGAAUUUAGAUUUUAAGUAAAAAUACUUAAAUAAUAUUAAGGGACGAGAAGACCCUAUAGAAUUUAAUAAGUGUAGUAGUAAUUAGGUUAAUAAUAGAUUUUUGGUUACUAUGAAUUUUAUUUAGUUGGGGUGAUUAGAAAAUAAGAUUAACUUUUCUUUAAUUUUAAUAUUAUAAUUAAUUGUAAGAUCCAUAAUUAAUGAUUGGAAGAUUAAAUUACCUUAGGGAUAACAGCAUAAUUUUUUUUGAGAGUUCAUAUUGAGAAAAAAGAUUGUGACCUCGAUGUUGGAUUAAGAUUAACUUUAGGUGUAGAUGUUUAAAGUUUAGGUCUGUUCGACCUUUUAAAUCUUACAUGAUCUGAGUUUAAAUCGGCGUGAGCCAGGUUGGUUUCUAUCUUUAAUUUAAUUAAAUAUUUUAGUACGAGAGGACCAAAUAUUUAAAAUAAUUUUUGUUUAAUGAAUAUUAUUAAUAAUAAAAUUGA